rnacentral:lncRNA from 1 species
AUGUCAAUUAAGUGGACGUUUGGUCACCCCUUACAAAGAAUCAUCUCCUGCGUAGUGCUGGGUGCUGGGGGGGCUCCCAAGAACUGCUCAACAAAAUGUUACCCCUAUGCUUCACAUUCGGGCCGUGUUGAGCUCUUCCCCGAGAACGCAUCCCUGCUGCUGCGGGACCUGCGGCUCAGUGACAGCGGGGUGUACAAUGUCAGCUUUGUACAGCAACAACAAAGCAGGCACAUCACCCUGACGGUGCUUCAGCAGCCUGUCCCCACAGGCCCUUCCAGUGAAGGAACUUGUCAAGGAGCAGGAGGGAUGGCCGCACGCAUCCCUUGCUACAUCCUGGGAGGCUGCUACUGCUUCAUCCUGCUGCUCCUGCAGCUGCUCUUCCACCUGUGCUGGCUGCGGGGCAGCCGCCAGCAGCAGGGCAGACGUGGGGAAGCCUGCGGCUGCUGCUGGGGAGAGGGGAGCCAGCGUGCGGGAGCAGCCAGGGCCGGCACCCCAGGCUGGCAGCAGCAGCCGCCCCGCAGUGCCCAGGCAGAAUGAAGGCGCUCAGCUGGUGGCUCAGGGCUGCUUUUCCUCCUGGCACCUGCCCCUCUGCGGGACAAACCGGGGUCCUGGCCGCUGCCUGUCCCCAGGCACCGUCCUGCCUCCAGCGCACAACCACUCCCCACACUCACAUACCCCUUCUGUUAAAUUCCCACUCCCAUGGGCAAAUAAAAACCUUUCCUCUGGCA